rnacentral:rRNA from 1 species
UCUAUGGCCGUAUCACCCUGAAUGUGCCUGAUCUCAUCUGAUCUCGGAAGCUAAGCAGGGUUGGGCCUGGUUAGUACCUGGAUGGGAGACAGAUCUUCAGAAGAGACUGCUCAGAGAC